rfam:Myotis lucifugus cont2.5044, whole genome shotgun sequence.
GGCGGUUCUUGGGUGACACACCCUGGAAUUGGUCUCCCUCCUCUCUGGUUCCAGGUGCAUAGCCCGAGAACCGAG